rnacentral:lncRNA from 1 species
UUCUCUGCCUUUCUAGAACAUUGAAACCCUAGAUAGAACACUUUCUCUCUCGAUUCUCUCUGCGUAAAUCUUGAGAAUAUCAUCGGCGAUGCAGGCUUUUAUCUACUUUUCCGAUUAACAUCUGAUAACAUCAAGGAAUAAUGAUGAUGAUGGAAUUGAUGAGAAAAAUAUUAUGAAUUGUAAAAGGGUUUUCAAUAAGAAAAGAAAGUAUGCAAUGAAAACCAGUUUGCCGUAAAGGGAACUUGCUGAAGUGGUUUGGUAACAACAGAGGUGAUUUCAAUGUGCAGGUUAGGUGUAUAAACACAUAGACAUGAUCAUCGUAUUUUUGUUCGACAUGGUAUAGUUAAUUAGUUAACCCGAGAUUGUUUUGGUUGACAGAUGGCAAUCGAAGUUGAGUUCAGUGGCUCUACGAUUCGGGUUAAUUGGUAACUUGUGUCUAGCAUUUUUGUUCUUCCCAGUGACUCGAGGAUCGUCUAUAUUGUUGCUGUUCGGGCUAACUUCUGAGGCCAGCAUCAAGUAUCACAUAUGGCUAGGCCAUAUUGUUAUGACCCUCUUCACUUCUCAUGGUGUUUGUUACAUUAUUUAUUGGAUAGUCACCAAGUAGACAUCAGAGGUUGUAAAUGGGCUGGUAGUUUGUAAUCAAGUCAUAAACAGGUUGUUUUUUUUUUUCAAAAAGGAUGAACCAUGGCAAGCCUCUUGGUGCAGUUCCCACACGUCUGAACGACCUUGCAACUUUAGUUGUCGGGACACACGUACCAAAGUUACGCAACCUUCAUCGCCAACACUGUAUUUGAAGCCACUGAUAACAGUACCAUAGCAUCAACGACAGUGAUCUACAAAAGGUGUUGUGACCCGUUUUCAACCUGAAUUCAUAUUGGCCCUUAAUGAUCCACAGUUAGUUGUUAUCACAUAUUUCUCGAGCUAAGCUGACCUUUAAACAUAUCGGGGUUUUCGUCAGCCAAAAAACUUUAGCAUUUAGUGGUAGCGCGUGGCUACGGUUGUGCGGUGGCUGAAUCGGGUGGUGAUCGGCGGCUGAUUCAUAGCCGUGAAUGGUGACAUAUAGCUGCCAUUCUGGUCAGUUUUGGGCUGAAGCCGUGAAUACAUUUCACUUAACGGGUCGUGCCUUGACCAGGUUCAUAUGCGGACACAAGUGAGAAAGAUGCAAUAUUUUUAUUAGGUGGUUCAUCGAAUCUGAUAUGUUAAGUCCAGUUUGACAAUCACAUUAGAGUUUCUUUUAUUAUAUACAAUUUUGAAUGAUAAUUAUCAAAAGUGGUGUGAUCUUAACUUUUGUUAGUUUUGAAGUAUUUGUUUAGAAAAGCAAUCUUUCAUCGUCAAGUUUAGCCAAAUGACAUUAAUAUUUAAAAGUACAUUCUC